UCCUCGGUAGCUCAAUGGUAGAGCGGGUGGCUGUUAACCACUAGGUCGCAGGUUCGAGCCCUGCCCGAGGAG
rnacentral:tRNA from 1 species